rnacentral:ncRNA from 4 species
UUGCGCCUCCGAUUCGCCGUCGGCAUUUCCCCAGCAGCCAUGACCUACCAGGCUGCGGUGCGGCUCGCCGCACAGGUCAUCCCUCAUCGGGCGCGUCCUGCGUCCUUCCACGCCAACCCACAAGGGAUCUUCCUCCCUUGCGGGC